rnacentral:rRNA from 1 species
CACGGGUGAGUAACGCGUAUGCAACCUACCUUUAACUGGGGCAUAGCUCCGAGAAAUCGGGAUUAAUACCCCAUAAUGUUACAAUUUCGCAUGUUAUUGUAACUAAAACUCCGGUGGUUAAAGAUGGGCAUGCGUGUCAUUAGCUUGUUGGUGAGGUAACGGCUCACCAAGGCUACGAUGACUAGGGGGUCUGAGAGGAUGAUCCCCCACACUGGUACUGAGACACGGACCAGACUCCUACGGGAGGCAGCAGUGAGGAAUAUUGGUCAAUGGGCGAAAGCCUGAACCAGCCAUGCCGCGUGCAGGAUGACAGCCCUAUGGGUCGUAAACUGCUUUUAUACGGGAAGAAACCCCUGAUCGUGAUCGGGGCUGACGGUACCGUAAGAAUAAGGAUCGGCUAACUCCGUGCCAGCAGCCGCGGUAAUACGGAGGAUCCUAGCGUUAUCCGGAUUUAUUGGGUUUAAAGGGUGCGUAGGCGGAAUAAUAAGUCAGUGGUGAAAUUCUGCAGCUUAACUGUAGAAUUGCCAUUGAUACUGUUAUUCUUGAAUGCAGUUGAGGUAGGCGGAAUGUGUAAUGUAGCGGUGAAAUGCUUAGAUAUUACCCAGAACACCGAUUGCGUAGGCAGUUUGCUAAACUGUGAUUGACGCUGAGGCACGAAAGCGUGGGUAGCAAACAGGAUUAGAUACCCUGGUAGUCCACGCCGUAAACGAUGAUUACUCGAUGUGUGCAAUAUACCGUACGCGUCUGAGCGAAAGCAUUAAGUAAUCCACCUGGGGAGUACGGCCGCAAGGUUGAAACUCAAAGGAAUUGACGGGGGCCCGCACAAGCGGAGGAACAUGUGGUUUAAUUCGAUGAUACGCGAGGAACACUUACCUGGGCUUAAAUGUAUUCUGACGUUCCGGGAAACUGGAAUUCCAUUCGGGGCAGAUUACAAGGUGCUGCAUGGUUGUCGUCAGCUCGUGCCGUGAGGUGUCGGGUUAAGUCCCAUAACGAGCGCAACCCCUAUUGUUAGUUGCCAGCGGAUAAUGCCGGGGACUCUAACGAAACUGACAGUGUAAACUGUGAGGAAGGUGGGGGAUGACGUCAAAUCAGCA